rnacentral:rRNA from 1 species
CCUACGGGGAGCAGCAGUGAGGAAUAUUGGUCAAUGGCCGGAAGGCUGAACCAGCCAUGCCGCGUGAAGGUCAGUGCCCUAUGGGCGUUAAACUUCUUUUGUGCGGGAGCAAUAAUGGUCACGUGUGGCCAGACGAGAGUACCGUACGAAUAAGCAUCGGCUAACUCCGUGCCAGCAGCCGCGGUAAUACGGGGGAUGCAAGCGUUAUCCGGAUUUAUUGGGUUUAAAGGGUGCGUAGGCUGUGAGGUAAGUCAGCGGUGAAAUGCCCCCGCUCAACGGGGUGAAGUGCCAUUGAUACUGCCUGGCUGGAAUGCGGAUGCCGUGGGAGGAAUGUGUGGUGUAGCGGUGAAAUGCAUAGAUAUCACACAGAACACCGAUUGCGAAGGCAUCUCACGAAGCCGCGAUUGACGCUGAUGCACGAAAGCGUGGGUAUCAAACAGGAUUAGAUACCCGGGUAGUC